GAAGGUGUCCUGUGAGGGGUGCUGGAGGUAUCAGAAGUGCGAAUGCUGACAUAAGUAACGAUAAAGCGGGUGAAAAGCCCGCUCGCCGGAAGACCAAGGGUUCCUGUCCAACGUUAAUCGGGGCAGGGUGAGUCGACCCCUAAGGCGAGGCCGAAAGGCGUAGUCGAUGGGAAACAGGUUAAUAUUCCUGUACUUGGUGUUACUGCGAAGGGGGGACGGAGAAGGCUAUGUCAGCCGGGCGACGGUUGUCCCGGUUUAAGCAUGUAGGCGGAGGUUCCAGGUAAAUCCGGUACCUUGUUAACGCUGAGGUGUGAUGACGAGGCACUACGGUGCUGAAGUGAUAAAUGCCCUGCUUCCAGGAAAAGCCUCUAAGCAUCAGGUAACACGAAAUCGUACCCCAAACCGACACAGGUGGUCAGGUAGAGAAUACCAAGGCGCUUGAGAGAACUCGGGUGAAGGAACUAGGCAAAAUGGUGCCGUAACUUCGGGAGAAGGCACGCUGAUAUGUAGGUGAAGUCCCUGCGGACGGAGCUGAAAUCAGUCGAAGAUACCAGCUGGCUGCAACUGUUUAUUAAAAACACAGCACUGUGCAAACACGAAAGUGGACGUAUACGGUGUGACGCCUGCCCGGUGCCGGAAGGUUAAUUGAUGGGGUUAGCGGCAACGCGAAGCUCUUGAUCGAAGCCCCGGUAAACGGCGGCCGUAACUAUAACGGUCCUAAGGUAGCGAAAUUCCUUGUCGGGUAAGUUCCGACCUGCACGAAUGGCGUAAUGAUGGCCAGGCUGUCUCCACCCGAGACUCAGUGAAAUUGAACUCGCUGUGAAGAUGCAGUGUACCCGCGGCAAGACGGAAAGACCCCGUGAACCUUUACUAUAGCUUGACACUGAACACUGGUCCUUGAUGUGUAGGAUAGGUGGGAGGCUUUGAAGCGUGGACGCCAGUCUGCGUGGAGCCAACCUUGAAAUACCACCCUUUAAUGGCUGGUGUUCUAACGUAGACCCGUAAUCCGGGUUGCGGACAGUGUCUGGUGGGUAGUUUGACUGGGGCGGUCUCCUCCCAAAGAGUAACGGAGGAGCACGAAGGUUGGCUAAUCCUGGUCGGACAUCAGGAGGUUAGUGCAAUGGCAUAAGCCAGCUUGACUGCGAGCGUGACGGCGCGAGCAGGUGCGAAAGCAGGUCAUAGUGAUCCGGUGGUUCUGAAUGGAAGGGCCAUCGCUCAACGGAUAAAAGGUACUCCGGGGAUAACAGGCUGAUACCGCCCAAGAGUUCAUAUCGACGGCGGUGUUUGGCACCUCGAUGUCGGCUCAUCACAUCCUGGGGCUGAAGUAGGUCCCAAGGGUAUGGCUGUUCGCCAUUUAAAGUGGUACGCGAGCUGGGUUUAGAACGUCGUGAGACAGUUCGGUCCCUAUCUGCCGUGGGCGCUGGAGAAUUGAGGGGGGCUGCUCCUAGUACGAGAGGACCGGAGUGGACGCAUCACUGGUGUUCGGGUUGUCAUGCCAAUGGCACUGCCCGGUAGCUAAAUGCGGAAGAGAUAAGUGCUGAAAGCAUCUAAGCACGAAACUUGCCCCGAGAUGAGUUCUCCCUGAGACUUUAAGUCUCCUGAAGGAACGUUGAAGACGACGACGUUGAUAGGUCGGGUGUGUAAGCGCAGCGAUGCGUUGAGCUAACCGAUACUAAUGAACCGUGAGGCUUAACCUUACAACGCCGAAGCUGUU
rnacentral:rRNA from 1 species